rnacentral:rRNA from 1 species
CACGUAGGGCGCAAGCGUUGUCCGGAAUUAUUGGGCGUAAAGAGCUCGUAGGCGGUCUGUUACGUCUGCUGUGAAAACCCAGGGCUUAACCCUGGGCUUGCAGUGGAUACGGGCAGACUAGAGGCAGGUAGGGGAGAAUGGAAUUCCCGGUGUAGCGGUGAAAUGCGCAGAUAUCAGGAGGAACACCAAUAGCGAAGGCAGCUCGCUGGGACGUUACUGACACUGAGGCGCGAAAGCGUGGGGAGCGAACAGG